UACGGAGGGUGCAAGCGUUAUCCGGAUUCACUGGGUUUAAAGGGUGCGUAGGCGGGCAGGUAAGUCAGUGGUGAAAUCUCCGAGCUUAACUCGGAAACUGCCGUUGAUACUAUCUGUCUUGAAUCCCGUGGAGAUGAGCGGAAUAUGUCAUGUAGCGGUGAAAUGCUUAGAUAUGACAUAGAACACCAAUUGCGAAGGCACUCUGCUGGGCCGACACUGACACUGAGAGACGAAAGCUAGGGGAGCAAAUGGG
rnacentral:rRNA from 1 species